rnacentral:lncRNA from 1 species
UUUACAUUCCUUUUGCCUCGAUUCAGUUUUUUCUUGCAUGUUUUAAUCUUUCCUUGCAUAUGAAUUUAAAAAUGUUUUCAUUUUGCAUUUUCAUAGGGUGAAUGAAAUUAUAUAACAAGAACAUGUGAAAUUAUGUGAAAAUAAUUAGAGGUUUGAAUAAAAUUGAGCGAAUUUGUGAAUGAGUUAAAACUAUCAUCGGUUAAAUGAUAUGUAACUCAAAAUCUAAAAAGGCAUGUAAUAUUAGUAAAGGAUAUGUGAAAUGGAUUAAUUU